GGCUGUGGCUCUGGGCCUGCAGGGAGGGCUCUGAGGGGGCUGUGCCGAGCAGCCUGCCGGCCACAGCAGAGAAGGGCCUGUCCUACCGGCCACCAUCUGCCCAUGUCAGGCCAAGCGAGUCCUCUUGCUGGCCGGGGACAGAGACAUUGCUCAGACAAGAAAAAUCGGGCUUUCAGUUCUUCAUUGGCUGGAGCCAGUCUGUAGGCCCGGGGGUGGGUCAGGACUCUUCCGUGCAGACAGGAACUGGAAGCCUGGACCGGGGUCAAGCACGGGAGCACUCUCGCCGGCCAGGACCGGACCUGAGCAAGGCUGUGUUGCCCACAGUCGCAGGCUGGUGAGGAGAAGGAGAGUUCCUGUCCAAACACAGAGGACUUUGACAGGAGGUGGGAACAGCAGGCUUUGUGCUGCCUUACCUGGAGGCCCCAUGGGUCAUGUCCUGCCACUCUCCCAGGACAAAUGUCAUCAUAUUUUUUUCCCUCAGCAUCACCAGUUGGCUUCUGACUGGAACUCUGACAGCUAAACAGACACACUUUCUGGUUUACAAGUUGUUAUUCUAUCACUUCUACAGUUUCAACUGUUCAUCUAUAGAAAAGAAUUGGUAAGAUGGUAGAAAUGCGGGAAAGGCACCCAUUUUCAUUCUGUGAGACACUGUGAAGCCCCUGCCCAGAUGGUGGGAGAAAUUCCGUCUUGAUUUGAGUUCGCCCAGAAGCAGACCCUGUAAGGGGCUUAUGUGAGAGGUGCCGCGUGAACGAAGUGCGGCAGA